UACGUAGGGGGGCGAGCGUUGUCCGGAAUUAUUGGGCGUAAAGAGCGUGUAGGCUGUUCGGUAAGUCUGCCGUGAAAACCUGAGGCUCAACCUCGGGCGUGCGGUGGAUACUGCCGGGCUAGAGGACGGUAGAGGCGAGUGGGAAUUCCCGGUGUAGCGGCGAAAUGCGCAGAUAUCGGGAGGAACACCAGUAGCGAAGGCG
rnacentral:rRNA from 1 species